rnacentral:rRNA from 1 species
GUGGGGAAUAUUGGACAAUGGGGGAAACCCUGAUCUAGCCAUGCCGCGUGAGCGAUGAAGGCCUUAGGGUUGUAAAGCUCUUUCAGCUGGGAAGAUAAUGACUGUACCAGCAGAAGAAGCCCCGGCUAACUCCGUGCCAGCAGCCGCGGUAAUACGGAGGGGGCUAGCGUUGUUCGGAAUUACUGGGCGUAAAGCGCACGUAGGCGGACCGGAAAGUCAGAGGUGAAAUCCCAGGGCUCAACCUUGGAACUGCCUUUGAAACUCCUGGUCUUGAGGUCGAGAGAGGUGAGUGGAAUUCCGAGUGUAGAGGUGAAAUUCGUAGAUAUUCGGAGGAACACCAGUGGCGAAGGCGGCUCACUGGCUCGAUACUGACGCUGAGGUGCGAAAGCGUGGGGAGCAAACAGGAUUAGAUACCCGUGUAGUCC